GACCUCUCCCUUCCACAGCAGUAAUUCCAGGAACGAUGAUGCUUUAGAGCGGCUGCCUGAGGCACCCUGAGGGAUACAGGUGGAGUACAGGAGUUGAUAGGAGAGCGAUCGGUGGUCCAUUUAGCAGGUCUUCACUACUUUGCCACGUGUCAAUGCCCCGAGUCAUGCUGGAGCCACUUUAUUUGGCCACAUUGCAUACAAGAGAGCCCUUAUGAAGCCCCAUUGAAGACAGUAGGAGUCUCAUAUGGGAGCAGGGGUCCACCCAAGCAGAUGAGUUGGCAGCAUAAGGGUUUUGGUUUUUUCCUCUUAUGUGCUUUAAGAAGGUAUUUUCCUGGCUCUGUGUCUAAUUUUUAUAAUAUUGUUGUUGCGCUGUUGUGCAGUGCCCAUAGCACUUCCAUGUAGGCCACUUGAUAAAUAUUGCUCUUUUAUUUUAUUAUUUUUAAGAUACUUAGCCAAAUGAAGGCACAGUUGAACUUUCUUUGACCCACCAAUUCAGCUCAGUAUCCAUCCACAAGCAGCGCUCGGCACGCACUCUUUGGCCAAAACUUGCAUUGCAGCCAACUUGUUACAGUAUGGACUUCCAUGUGAUAUCUGUUUUUACUUCCUUUAUUUAUAGAUGUAUUUUUUUAGUGUUAAAAAUAUCCAGUGUGAAAUAUCUGGCUUAUUUCAUUUGUAAAUGCUUUGAUUUUCUAUGUUUUUGCCUCUUAUCUUAAUUUUGAAUUUCAAUAAAAAUACAGGCUCAUUCGGAGGUUCCUGGAGAUAUGUCCCUCAGGAGC